rnacentral:rRNA from 1 species
UACAGAGGGGGCAAGCGUUGUUCGGAAUUACUGGGCGUAAAGGGCUCGUAGGCGGCCAACUAAGUCAGACGUGAAAUCCCUCGGCUUAACCGGGGAACUGCGUCUGAUACUGGAUGGCUUGAGUUUGGGAGAGGGAUGCGGAAUUCCAGGUGUAGCGGUGAAAUGCGUAGAUAUCGGAAGGAACACCAGUGGCGAAAGCGGCUUCCUGGUCCAGCACCGACGUUCAGGCACGAAAGCGUGGGGAGCAAACAGG